rnacentral:rRNA from 1 species
UACGUAGGUGGCAAGCGUUGUCCGGAUUUACUGGGCGUAAAGAGCGCGCAGGCGGUCGUUCAAGUCGCGUGUGAAAGCCCCCGGCUCAACUGGGGAGGGUCACGCGAUACUGAUCGACUCGAAGGCAGGAGAGGGUAGUGGAAUUCCUGGUGUAGUGGUGAAAUGCGUAGAUAUCGGGAGGAACACCAGUGGCGAAGGCGACUACCUGGCCUGUUCUUGACGCUGAGGCGCGAAAGCUAGGGGAGCAAACGGG